GCGCACGCUGGCGGCAGGCCUCACACAUGCAAGUCGAACGAACUCUUCGGAGUUAGUGGCGGACGGGUGAGUCACACGUGGGAACGUGCCUUUAGGUUCGGAAUAACUCAGGGAAACUUGUGCUAAUACCGAAUGUGCCCUUCGGGGGAAAGAUUUAUCGCCUUAGAGCGGCCCGCGUCUGAUUAGCUAGUUGGUGAGGUAAAGGCUCACCAAGGCGACGAUCAGUAGCUGGUCUGAGAGGAUGAUCAGCCACAUUGGGACUGAGACACGGCCCAAACUCCUACGGGAGGCAGCAGUGGGGAAUCUUGCGCAAUGGGCGAAAGCCUGACGCAGCCAUGCCGCGUGAAUGAUGAAGGUCUUAGGAUUGUAAAAUUCUUUCACCGGGGACGAUAAUGACGGUACCCGGAGAAGAAGCCCCGGCUAACUUCGU
rnacentral:rRNA from 1 species